AGGACGAACGCUGGCGGCGUGCCUAACACAUGCAAGUCGAACGAGGUCCAACCGGUGGCAACACUGGUGAAGACCUAGUGGCGAACGGGUGAGUAUCACGUGAGUAACCUGCCCCGAAGACUGGGAUAACACCGGGAAACCGGUGCUAAUACCGGAUGUCCCCACCGAAUCGCAUGGUUUGGUGAGGAAAUGGAUUCCGCUUUGGGAGGGACUCGCGGCCUAUCAGCUUGUUGGUGGUGUAACGGACCACCAAGGCUUCGACGGGUAGCUGGUCUGAGAGGACGAUCAGCCACACUGGGACUGAGACACGGCCCAGACUCCUACGGGAGGCAGCAGUGGGGAAUCUUGCGCAAUGGGCGAAAGCCUGACGCAGCAACGCCGCGUGAGGGACGAAGGCCUUCUGGGUUGUAAACCUCUUUCAGCAGGGACGAUGAUGACGGUACCUGCAGAAGAAGCCCGGCAACUACGUGCCAGCAGCCGCGGU
rnacentral:rRNA from 1 species